rnacentral:misc_RNA from 1 species
CGGGUACCUUUUCAUCACAAACUUAACCAAAACCCACUCACAAAUGCUGCGUUCAAAUUAAUUUCCUAACAGAGGAACGUUUGCGAAAUGCUGAACCUAUGCUUUGCACCCAGAAUUAAUUAAAAGCUAAUUACUAUCGACUUGAAAAACACCAAAUUGGAAAUUGCAACUAAUGGAUGCACCUCUCUCCCCUUAUCCUUUACACUCCCCCAUCUAGUGGAUCCCUCCCCGAGUAGAAUGAAAAAAAAAGAAAAUUUGAGAGAGUCGGGAGCAAAAAUGACAUUGCAAAUUAUCUUGCUCUCUGACAAUCUACUAAAUCCUC